rnacentral:autocatalytically_spliced_intron from 3 species
AGGGUGUCCCUGAGUAGGGUCGGACACGUGAAAUCCGGCCUGAAUCUGGGUGGACCACUACCCAAGCCUAAACAGGUACAGAGAUCUAUAGUGAAUAGUACCGCGAGGGAACGGUGAAAAGUACCCCGGAAGGGGGAUGAAAUAGACCCUGAAAUGUAUUGCGUUCAAGGAGUGGGAGCCCUGCACUUGUUGCGGGGUGACCGCGUGCCUUUUGCAUAAUGAGCCAACGAGUUAGUUGUCAGUGGCUGGUUAAGGCAGAGUUAGCCGGAGCC